CUUCGGCAAUGGGCGAAAGCCUGACCGAGCAACGCCGCGUGAAUGAUGAAGGCCUUCGGGUUGUAAAAUUCUGUUAUAAGGGAAGAACGACUUUAGUAGGAAAUGGCUAAAGUGUGACGGUACCUUAUGAGAAAGCCACGGCUAACUACGUGCCAGCAGCCGCGGUAAUACGUAGGUGGCAAGCGUUAUCCGGAAUUACUGGGCGUAAAGGGUGCGUAGGUGGUUUCUUAAGUCAGAGGUGAAAGGCUACGGCUCAACCGUAGUAAGCCUUUGAAACUGGGAAACUUGAGUGCAGGAGAGGAGAGUGGAAUUCCUAGUGUAGCGGUGAAAUGCGUAGAUAUUAGGAGGAACACCAGUGGCGAAGGCGACUCUCUGGUCUGUUAUUGACACUGAGGCUCGAAAGCGUGGGGAGCAAACAGG
rnacentral:rRNA from 1 species